GGAGGAAUGAUCUCUGCCAGAAGCAAGAAGAACACGGUGAGCGACAGCAGAAUCGAUAUGGACAAACUGACCUGUGGAGAAGAAAUGAUAUCUGAAGAACAUCCGCUUAAACAUGCCGUAUAAAUAGGUGCGAGGGGUAUGGGGGAGCUGUUUACCUAUUUCCUCGCAGACGGGGGCUAACAACGAAGGAGUGUAGAAGUCUCUCUGUCGGGGGGGUUGUAAUUACACAACGCAACCCGGUGGUGGUACACUGGAAAGAGGAAGAGGGAGAACAACGGGUUUUAACCCGACCAAGAACUACCCUUGCGGUCGUUGCCAAAUAUCACCAGACCAGUUUCGUGAAGUUAGAAGGUGGUACCCUCGGAUCGCAUGGAAAUCACAGCAGAAAGGAAGGAGGGAGGCGAACGUAGGAGGAAUCCCAAUACGGUCGUUCGCGGUCGUGAGGACGAAAAGGUGGUCCUUUUGAGCACCUCGGAGAGGGAGAUCGUUAUUUUCGCACUCCAAGAAUGUCUCGAACGAAUCACCACCGUACUCGAAAAAGCUAAUGUAAAAAAAACCGAUGUCAAUUUGAGUUUUGUACCAACCGACGCCAGGUACUUGUCAUCGGACCUGAUCAAAUCACGAUUAUUGUACACCAGUGAAGAGCGAGCGGUAAAGGAUAUGAAAAUCGAAGCUGGUUUUCAAAAGCUUCGAAACGACAGCGCCUAUGUGGUGAGUAUCUUGGAGCAGACGGUCCGGGAAUUGCGUGUAAACGGAUCAUUUCCAACCCUGAGAUCAAUCCCGAAUAAAUUAAGGGACAUCCAAAAGAAGGAAAUGUCGGUGCUUGCGAAGGCUAGAAAAAAUAUCGAGACAUUAAAAUCUCUGAAAGAACUCGUUGCUCAAGAGAGAUACGCCAACGAGCUGGAAAAUAAGGAAUACAGGGAAAAACUUGCAACGGCUACGAGAGAAAUGGAAAUACAAAAUGCUAAGGGUAGAGCGUCGAUCACCUACGUUUCUGCUUGGGAGAAAGCCAGAUGCGAACAAAACGUAGCACGCUGUAACAUCGCCGAGGAGGAAUUGCGGCGAACUUUAGCGAAGCUUAAAGUGGAAGAAAAAAAUGAGAAACGGAUCAACGGUAACAUCGAAGCUUUUCUGUGCCACAAUAUCGCGGAGAACGAAGAAAAAAUUAUCGAAUGGCGGAAACGGUAUGACCGGGAAUGGACGCAGUAUACAAACGAGAUUGGGAGACUGCAAAAACAGAUAAAUAUUGAGAAAACAGCCCUAGCGAGGCUCAAAGAAGAGCAACGGGUCAAGCAAAAUUUCAUAGACGAAUAUCUUGCGGAGAAGAAAGCGGAGCGUAAAAAAAUGGAGCACGAGGAACACGUGCGGAAUAGCACAAUCAAGAUUCAAGCUUGGUGGCGCGGUGUUAUGGUUCGCCGGAAGUUGGGCCCGUACCGACCGGAAGAAAAGAAGAAAAAGCGACCCACCAAGUCUAAGAAGUAACGUGAGCUUCCUACGAAGUACAAUAAAGUAAGAUAUUCGGAUAGAGUCGAGUCCUCUGUCGAAAUAAUAUCAGUCCAGUUGAUCAUUUCGACGAAAUUUGAGCCUUCGGUAAUUCCCACACCUAAAAUUGUCGAGGACACGUCUUCCAAUUGCUAUCCGAAUUCAAACUGUUUCCACAAUUUUCGAUCGCGGAAGAGCGACGACAUCCGUUCAGAUGAUUCAAGAUAUCGUAACGAGGAUUUUAAAGAGAAAUACACACGCGAAAUCUAAUUUCUACCGGUCGAUCCACGCCGGGGGGAUAAAUUAAAAAACUCAUCACGUAACGAGGGAGGAUAGCAGGUGUUUCUCUGAUAAUAAUAAUGAAUCGAAACCGUCGGUGAAUCCGAAAGUAGAACAACGAGGAGGUAAGAUUCAGUCAUUUGUAGCUGCUAUGCGCUCGAGGCAUUGUUCACGCAAGAAGGCCGUUUUCCUCGAACCACGACUUCCUGGACCUCCCUCUGGCACUCCCCAUCAGCUUGAUCGCGGUACCCGAUGGCACGAAACUCCAUGACGGCUGGAUUCCCACCCCCCAGUUGUCGGGUCAAGCUUCAGAUACUCACCAUAUCCCUGCUAUCAACGUCAGCUCCGUAGUUAAGUAGUAGCUGUGCCAUUUGAUGAUGUCCCUCAUAGGCAGCCAUGUGAAGUGGUGUUCGAUCAACCUUUGUCCGCGCAUCUCUAGAG